GGUUGAGUUAGAAAGGGCGCACGGUGGAUGCCUUGGCACUAGGAGCCGAUGAA
rnacentral:rRNA from 1 species